rnacentral:rRNA from 1 species
AGUGAACGCUGGCGGUAGGCCUAACACAUGCAAGUCGAACGGCAGCACAGUAAGAGCUUGCUCUUACGGGUGGCGAGUGGCGGACGGGUGAGGAAUACAUCGGAAUCUACUUUUUCGUGGGGGCUAACGUAGGGAAACUUACGCUAAUACCGCAUACGACCUACGGGUGAAAGCAGGGGAUCUUCGGACCUUGCGCGAUUGAAUGAGCCGAUGUCGGAUUAACUAGUUGGCGGGGUAAAGGCCCACCAAGGCGACGAUCCGUAGCUGGUCUGAGAGGAUGAUCAGCCACACUGGAACUGAGACACGGUCCAGACUCCUACGGGAGGCAGCAGUGGGGAAUAUUGGACAAUGGGCGCAAGCCUGAUCCAGCCAUACCGCGUGGGUGAAGAAGGCCUUCGGGUUGUAAAGCCCUUUUGUUGGGAAAGAAAAGCAGCAGGUUAAUACCCCGCUGUUCUGACGGUACCCAAAGAAUAAGCACCGGCUAACUUCGUG